rnacentral:rRNA from 1 species
GCGACGCCGCGUGAGGGAAGAAGGUUUUCGGAUUGUAAACCUCUGUCCUUGGUGAAGAUAAUGACGGUAACCAAGGAGGAAGCCACGGCUAACUACGUGCCAGCAGCCGCGGUAAUACGUAGGUGGCAAGCGUUGUCCGGAAUUACUGGGUGUAAAGGGAGCGUAGGCGGGAAUAUAAGUUGAAUGUUAAAUCUACCGGCUUAACCGGUAGCCGCGUUCAAAACUAUAAUUCUUGAGUGAAGUAGAGGCAGGCGGAAUUCCUAGUGUAGCGGUGGAAUGCGUAAAUAUUAGGAGGAACACCAGUGGCGAAGGCGGCCUGCUGGGCUUUAACUGACGCUGAGGCUCGAAAGCGUGGGGAGCAAACAGGAUUAGAUACCCUGGUAGUCCACGCUGUAAACGAUGAUUACUAGGUGUGGGGGGACUGACCCCUUCCGUGCCGCAGUUAACACAAUAAGUAAUCCACCUGGGGAGUACGACCGCAAGGUUGAAACUCAAAGGAAUUGACGGGGGCCCGCACAAGCAGUGGAGUAUGUGGUUUAAUUCGAAGCAACGCGAAGAACCUUACCAGGUCUUGACAUCCAGCGCAAACCUAAGAGAUUAGGCUUUCCCUUCGGGGACGCUGA